rnacentral:rRNA from 1 species
UACGUAGGGUGCGAGCGUUGUCCGGAAUUAUUGGGCGUAAAGAGCUUGUAGGCGGUUUGUCGCGUCUGCUGUGAAAAUCCGGGGCUCAACCCCGGACUUGCAGUGGGUACGGGCAGACUAGAGUGUGGUAGGGGAGACUGGAAUUCCUGGUGUAGCGGUGGAAUGCGCAGAUAUCAGGAGGAACACCGAUGGCGAAGGCGGGUCUCUGGAACGGUACUGACGCUGAGACGCGAAAGCGUGGGGAGCGAACAGG